rnacentral:rRNA from 1 species
UACGGAGGGGGCUAGCGUUGUUCGGAAUUACUGGGCGUAAAGCGCACGUAGGCGGCUGUUCAAGUCAGAGGUGAAAGCCUGGAGCUCAACUCCAGAACUGCCUUUGAAACUGAAGAUCUUGAGUUCGGGAGAGGUGAGUGGAACUGCGAGUGUAGAGGUGAAAUUCGUAGAUAUUCGCAAGAACACCAGUGGCGAAGGCGGCUCACUGGCCCGAUACUGACGCUGAGGCACGAAAGCGUGGGGAGCAAACAGG